AGGAUUAACGCUGGCGGCGUGCCUAACACAUGCAAGUCGAACGAGGUAGCAAUACCUAGUGGCAGACGGGUGAGUAACGCGUGGUCAACCUACCGUUGAGUGGGGGAUAACUAGCCGAAAGGUUAGCUAAUACCGCAUACGAGUCUCGGGGGCAUCCCUGGGCCUUAAAAGGAGCAAUCCGCUCGAUGACGGGACCGCGUCCCAUUAGCUAGAUGGUGGGGUAAUGGCCUACCAUGGCUCCGAUGGGUAGCUGGUUUGAGAGAGCGACCAGCCACACUGGGACUGAGAAACGGCCCAGACUCCUACGGGAGGCAGCAGUGAGGAAUUUUCCGCAAUGGGCGAAAGCCUGACGGAGCGACGCCGCGUGUGGGAAGAAGGCCUUCGGGUCGUAAACCACUGUCGAAGGGACGAUAAUGACGGUACCCUUGGAGGAAGCCCCGGCUAACUACGUGCCAGCAGCCGC
rnacentral:rRNA from 1 species